rnacentral:tRNA from 1 species
GUGGGUGUAGUUUAAUGGUAGAACGCUAGGUUUCCACUCUAGUAGUGUGAGUUCAAUUCUCACUAUCCACUCCA